AAAUUAAACAGUAACAAGCUCACUGGUGCUCUACCGAUAGAGGUCAUUGGACUCGUUGGUUUUCGCAAGUUGGCAAUUUUGGACGUCUCAAACAAUCUGCUGGCAGGGACUGUACAUCGCAGCAAUUCAACAGGUUUUGUAGUUACGAAAAUAAUACAAGAUCCAAGAGCUCAGAACUAAACCAGAAGAAGAAGAAGAAGCUUAUCAAAUAAAAAUGAGAAUCCUAAAGCCCAGAAAACCUGAAUAUAUGUUGUAUAGUUGUACAUGUAAGCUUUAUGCAUACAUGUAAGCUUAUAUAUUGUUCUUUUGAUUUUGAUUUCGCACUUAGAAAUAGUUUCUCUUACUCUGUAAACUUGGAAUGUGACCAGCAA